rnacentral:lncRNA from 1 species
ACUGUCUCCCCACAUCCAACUAUUAACCUGAUCUCACUUCUUGUCUUAAUACCCUAACAUUCCUAGGUUAGACUUGUCUGGACUUGGGGCAGGCUUUUGUUUUCCUGAUCGGUUCCCGUGAAAAGUUAUGAGAAUUAAAAAUAAACUCCAGAUAACCAAGAAUUGGAGGAGCAUACCUGGAACCAAAGGGAGGAGUUACCGCCCACCCUACAGGGGAGGAGCUGCCUCCAUUCAAGCUGAGAGCUGACAGUCUGGACUCUGCAGCUGGACCAGGAGAAAGAGUGCUAUAAAUUUCACAAAAAAGGGAGAAUUUCUGCUGACUUUUUCAUAAAGGAGGAAG